rnacentral:misc_RNA from 1 species
GAGAGACGAAGUGUUUGGUGAUUCGGUAGUUACUUUCCAGGGAAAUGCAAAACAACAGAAAUUUAAUGCUGUAGAAUCAUCACACAGGGGAAAUUUAAGUACAAUGCAGAGAUUUAAUCAUGGUGAGGGCAAACCCUUCCUGAUGACUGCAUCCACUAUCCUUCCCUCAGUUGAACAAAUGCAAACCGCUAUUUCCCAGCAGCAAAGGCCAACUUAUGCAUCAUAUCCACCUCCAUCAUCUUUUCCACAUACAUUGUUAUGUAAUAAUGCAUUCUUCAUUGACCCUAACAACCGCAUAUCCUCAAAUGACUAUCCUCCUGGUGCCAUUUCAUACAACAUAAUAAACCCAC